rnacentral:rRNA from 1 species
AUUGAACGCUGGCGGCAGGCCUAACACAUGCAAGUCGAGCGGAUGAAGGGAGCUUGCUCCUGGAUUCAGCGGCGGACGGGUGAGUAAUGCCUAGGAAUCUGCCUGGUAGUGGGGGAUAACGUCCGGAAACGGGCGCUAAUACCGCAUACGUCCUGAGGGAGAAAGUGGGGGAUCUUCGGACCUCACGCUAUCAGAUGAGCCUAGGUCGGAUUAGCUAGUUGGUGGGGUAAAGGCCUACCAAGGCGACGAUCCGUAACUGGUCCGAGAGGAUGAUCAGUCACACUGGAACUGAGACACGGUCCAGACUCCUACGGGAGGCAGCAGUGGGGAAUAUUGGACAAUGGGCGAAAGCCUGAUCCAGCCAUGCCGCGUGUGUGAAGAAGGUCUUCGGAUUGUAAAGCACUUUAAGUUGGGAGGAAGGGCAGUAAGUUAAUACCUUGCUGUUUUGACGGUACCAACAGAAUAAGCACCGGCUAACUUCGUG